UUUAAAUAAUUUAGAUAUUAGAAAAUAUAUUGACAUACGACAUAUACAUGACUAUUAACUACCAUUAUAUUUUUCAAUCUAAUUUCACUCUUGGAUUACUCUCUCUAGAUUGCCAAUGAUUAGGUAUAGUGUUGUUCGCUGUGGACUUAAUACAGUACCCAUUAAUCAUUACGAUAUUUAUUAAUGUAGUCAGCAUCUAUAUUAAAAAAAUCGAACUGUAGUAGGUACGUAUUUUUGUACAAUGGUGGCCCUACAGUAAGCUUGUAGGGAGUAUGUCGAUGUGUAAGCACUUUUCCGGUUACUUUAACGUAUUUACCACAGUAUGACUAUACAAGCAUUAAAUUCUUACCUAGGUACUACACAUUUGGCUUCGGGUCUUGACUCUUGGAUCCACUGCUCCAAGUGUCCCCAACUACCACAUUACCACUUGAUAAAUUAUAAUAAAUAAAGCUAAUAUAUUACCCUUAACUAUAUCUUCGUGUGGAAGGGUUCAGAACCCAGUGGCCAAUACUAUAGACAUAAUCUUGGCCGUGGUCACGCCAGUGUGUAUCCAUAUGUGACAUCAACGAAGACGUCGGUGUCAAGUUGGCCGACCUAUUGGGUGCCAAGUUUGGAAACGUCAAAGUGAUAUUUUGUCCAUGCGACGUCACCGAUUAUCCACAGUUUCAAGGGUGUUCCAAAUUUCAUGUGACAGCAGAUUUCAGCAUGAUCUACUUAAAUUAGAAAAAAAUGACCUAUGUGAAAACCUCUUUGAAUCAUAUACUCUAAACUAAUUUGAUAUUAAUUAUUUUUUUUAUUAAUUAAAAAGGGGAGAUUUUAGGGGUAACUUUUAAAAUUCAAAUGGGAACCUAUAUUUUUGAAAUAUGAUUCAUAUAGGAUUUUUUUUUUAACGAAUUUUGACGUAUCAUUCAUAAUUAUGGGUUGAUAAUUAAAGAAGUUAUUUACAUUAGAAUUUUGUAUUUAAUUUGUAAAAAUGCCAUCAAUGAAUAAUAAUAAUAAUAUACUUAGUGCUUCUGUUAUACGCCGAUUCAUUGUUGUACCUACAAGUUACAACCUUAAUAAUCUGUAAGUUAUCUAACUACCAAUUUACUAGUAAUAAAACGUGUAUUUGGUAUCU